rnacentral:snoRNA from 1 species
AUUAGUCAGCAUUAAAUCUGCAGAUGGCUUCCACUAAGUACUACAGUCAAAAAGGAGCCUGGAAUGACACUUUUCCAUGAUGGUCUCCAUUCUAUUUGUUCUAACUGAUCUGCAGUAUUUCAAGAAAAGACAACU